rnacentral:rRNA from 1 species
UACGGGGGGGAGCAAGCGUUGUUCGGAUUUACUGGGCGUAAAGGGCGCGUAGGCGGCCACUGCAAGUCGGUUGUGAAAUCUCCGGGCUUAACCCGGAAAGGUCAAUCGAUACUGCAGGGCUAGAGUGCAGAAGGGGCAACUGGAAUUCUCGGUGUAGCGGUGAAAUGCGUAGAGAUCGGGAGGAACACCCGUGGCGAAGGCGGCCAGCUGGGCCGGCCCUGACGCUGAGGCGCGAAGGCGUGGGGAGCGAACGGG